rnacentral:rRNA from 1 species
UGGAUUAGGCAUGCAAGUCGAACGAGGUCCAUGCAGUGGCAACACUGCGGAAGACCUAGUGGCGAACGGGUGAGUAACACGUGAGGAACCUGCCCCGAAGACCGGGAUAACCCUCCGAAAGGAGAGCUAAUACCGGAUACCCCCACCUGGUCGCAUGGCCGGGUGAGGAAAUGGAUUCCGCUUCGGGAGGGCCUCGCGGCCUAUCAGCUAGUUGGUGAGGUAACGGCUCACCAAGGCAUCGACGGGUAGCUGGUCUGAGAGGACGAUCAGCCACACUGGCACUGCGACACGGGCCAGACUCCUACGGGAGGCAGCAGUAAGGAAUAUUGCGCAAUGGGCGAAAGCCUGACGCAGCGACGCCGCGUGGGGGAUGAAGGUCUUCGGAUUGUAAACCCCUUUCGG